UACGUAGGGUCCGGGCGUUGUCCGGAGUUACUGGGCGUAAAGCGCGCGCAGGCGGCGCGGUCAGCAUGGCGUGAAAGCCCCCGGCUCAACCGGGGAGGGUCGUCGUGGACUGCCGCGCUUGAGGGCGGUAGGGGCUGGUGGAAUUCCCGGUGUAGUGGUGAAAUGCGUAGAGAUCGGGAGGAACACCCGUGGCGAAGGCGGCCAGCUGGGCCGACCCUGACGCUGAGGCGCGAAGGCGUGGGGAGCGAACGGG
rnacentral:rRNA from 1 species